rnacentral:rRNA from 1 species
UACGUAGGUGGCAAGCGUUUGUCCGGAAUUAUUGGGCGUAAAGCGCGCGCAGGCGGUUCUUUAAGUCUGAUGUGAAAGCCCACGGCUCAACCGUGGAGGGUCAUUGGAAACUGGGGAACUUGAGUACAGAAGAGGAAAGCGGAAUUCCACGUGUAGCGGUGAAAUGCGUAGAGAUGUGGAGGAACACCAGUGGCGAAGGCGGCUUUCUGGUCUGUAACUGACGCUGAGGAGCGAAAGCGUGGGUAGCGAACAGG